rnacentral:rRNA from 1 species
UACGAAGGGGGCUAGCGUUGUUCGGAAUUACUGGGCGUAAAGGCGCGUAGGCGGCCGAUCAAGUCAGGCGUGAAAUUCCCGGGCUCAACCUGGGGGCUGCGCUUGAUACUGAUUGGCUUGAAUGCGGGAGAGGAUAGUGGAAUUCCCAGUGUAGAGGUGAAAUUCGUAGAUAUUGGGAAGAACACCGGUGGCGAAGGCGGCUAUCUGGCCCGUAAUUGACGCUGAGGCGCGAAAGCGUGGGGAGCAAACAGG